GUGUCAGCAGCCGCGGUAAGACAGAGGCCUCAAGCGUUAGGCGGAAUCACUGGGCUUAAAGCGUGUGUAGGCGGAUCGUUAAGUGCCUUGUGAAAUCCCACGGCUCAACCGUGGAACUGCUUGGCAUACUGGCGGUCUUGAGCCAUCUAGGGGUCGCUGGAACAAACGGUGGAGCGGUGAAAUGCGUAGAUAUCGUUUGGAACGCCUAUGGUGAAAACAGGCGACUGGGGAUGUGCUGACGCUGAGACACGAAAGCCAGGGGAGCAAACGGGAUUAGAUACCCGUGUAGUCC
rnacentral:rRNA from 1 species